UACAGAGGUCUCGAGCGUUAGGCGGAAUCACUGGGCUUAAAGCGUGUGUAGGUGGAUCGUUAAGUACCUUGUGAAAUCCCACGGCUCAACCGUGGAACCGCUGGGUAUACUGGUUGUCUUGAGCCGGCUAGGGGCGAGCGGAACAGACGGUGGAGCGGUGAAAUGCGUAGAUAUGCGGAGGAACACCGAUGGCGAAGGCAAUCCCCUGGGCCUGCACUGACGCUCAUGCACGAAAGCGUGGGGAGCAAACAGG
rnacentral:rRNA from 1 species